UCCAGACUCCUACGGGAGGCAGCAGUGAGGAAUAUUGGUCAAUGGUCGUAAGACUGAACCAGCCAAGUAGCGUGCAGGAUGACGGCCCUAUGGGUUGUAAACUGCUUUUAUGCGGGGAUAAAAUGCGUCACGUGUGAUGUUUUGUAGGUACCGCAUGAAUAAGGACCGGCUAAUUCCGUGCCAGCAGCCGCGGUAAUACGGAAGGUCCGGGCGUUAUCCGGAUUUAUUGGGUUUAAAGGGAGCGUAGGCCGCAUGUUAAGCGUGCCGUGAAAUGCCGUGGCUCAACCAUGGCACUGCGGCGCGAACUGGCUUGCUUGAGUGCGCGGAACGUAUGCGGAAUUCGUGGUGUAGCGGUGAAAUGCUUAGAUAUCACGCAGAACUCCGAUUGCGAAGGCAGCAUACCGGCGCUCAACUGACGCUCAUGCACGAAAGUGUGGGUAUCGAACAGGAUUAGAUACCCUGGUAGG
rnacentral:rRNA from 1 species